AUGUGGCGGCGCGGGGCCCACUCCGACGCCGCCCACCACCUCCCCGCCGCCGGCGCCGGCGGGUCUACCUCGGCCGCCGCCGCUGCGGGCGCCGUGCGGAGGCGGCGCCGACCUGGGCUGUCGUGCCGCCCCAGCCACCUGUUCUUCGCCCUCCUCGUCGCGCUCUUCACGGCCUCCCUGCUUGUCGUCUGGCAGCUGCUCCCCAUCGGCGACGGCAACGCGGCGGCGGACGGGGAGGGGGCGCCGCCGCCGCCCGACGGGGGAGGGGCGAUGCGGUUCUCGGCCUCGCGCAUGGUGCUGCGCGCGUUCGACACCGAGAGCCGGCUCGAGGCCGCGAGAUCCGCGCGCCGCUGGUGGCCCGGCCUCGAGCCCGUCAGGCUAGCGCUCGUUGUGGGAACUAUGAACAUAGACGCAGAAUCCCUGAUGCUCACUACCUUAGCAAAAAGUCUUGGGGGACUCGGAUACGAGGUCGAGGUUUUAGCAUUCACGGAUGGGAAAGCUCACAAUAUUUGGAAAACUAUUUGCCAUGUAAAUGUUGUGAGCUUUGAGAAGCUGAAGUAUGUCGAUUGGUCAAAAUACAAUGCUGUGCUCGUAAGCUCUCUUGAAGGGAAAAGGGUUGUUUCGAUUCUUAUGCAGGAACCUUUUCGACUUCUACCAGUGGUUUGGCUUAUUCAUGAUGAUGCUCUUGGGCAGCACCUUAGGAAUUAUCCAGAGCCGCAUCUGUCCGUUCCAAAUCAUAUUGAAGAUUGGCGAGCUCAUUUUAAUGCAUGCACUGACGUUGUGUUUCCAGAUAGCCACCUCCCUUUAUUAUACUCUCCACUUGAUACUGGGAAUUUCUUGGUGAUUCCUGGUUCUCCGGUUGAUAUCUGGGCUGCUAAACGAUACGGCUUGUCACAUUCUCAAGGAACUAUAAGGAAUCAACAUGGAAUCAAAGAAGAAGAUAUUGUUGUUUUGGUUGUUGGGAGCUACCUGUUCUUUGAUGAAUUACCAUGGGAUUAUGUAACAGUCUUGCGUACAUCAGCUCCACAUGUCAUGGACAUGGCAAGAACUAAAAAAUUGGGAGUGCAGUUCAUCUUUUUCUGUGGAAAUGGCAGUGACACCUAUAACUCUGCUUUCCAGGAACUUGCAUCUCAUAUAGGAUUUCCUGAUGAUUCUGUAAAGCAUUUCCCCAUGACACAUGAUAUCGGAAACCUGCUAAUGUUUGUUGAUAUUGUUCUCUAUGGAUCUUUAAGACAGGAACCUGGUUUCCCUCCUUUGUUAUUGCGGUCUAUGUCCUCUGAAAUUCCAAUCAUUGCGCCAAAUCUAACUGUUAUAACAAAAUAUGUCACUGAUGGUAUUCAUGCCUUCCUUUUUAAUUCUGGCGACCCAAGCACAGCAGCUUCAGCUUUCAUGCGGAUUUUAGGAGAAAAGGGACUUUUGGACACUGCCUAUUCUGUUGCUUUGGAGGGGAAGCUACUUUCAAAAAACAUGUUAGCAUAUGAUUGUAUUGUUGCUCAUGUUAAGCUUCUUGAAAGUGUGUUGCACUAUCCUUCAGAUGCAAGAUUACCACUUUCCUUCUCUCAAGUUAAAGAGAGAACAUGGUUAUGGGAUCCUUUCGAGUCGAAAGCUGCACUGGGCAAUAGUUCUUCAGAAGAUGAAAGACAUAUCCACACAAGAAUUGCUGGUAUUCUCUUAGGGGAAUCAGCUCAAAGUAAUUGGACAAUCGAUUCUGAUAGCAAUGAUACUUCUUCAUAUGACUACCCUACCCAGUCUGAUUGGGAUGAUCUAAGUGAAGUUGAAAUCUUUGAAGACAUUGAGAUGAGAGAAAUGGAGGAGAUUGAUGAAAGGGUGGAAAAACCUCUGUUAACAUGGGAUGAGGUGUACAGAAAUGCCCGAAAAUCGGAAAGGAUGAAGCCUGAAGGAAAUGAACGUGAUGAAGGCGAACUGGAAAGAACUGGGCAGCCCGUCUGUAUAUAUGAGAUUUACCGUGGAGAGGGCGCAUGGCCAUUUUUACACCAUGGUUCUUUAUAUCGUGGCAUUACUCUUUCAAAAGGAGCCAGGAGACCCAGAUCAGAUGAUGUUGAUGCUGUUAUGCGGCUUUCGGUUCUAGACGAUACGUACUAUCGUGAUCUUCUUUGUGAAUUUGGUGCUAUGUUUGCCAUUGCGAACAGAAUUGAUACUGUACAUAAGUUACCGUGGAUAGGUUUCCAGUCAUGGCGAGCUGCUGGAAGGAAGGUUUCCUUGUCUGAAAGUGCUGAAGAAACCUUAGAGAAAACUAUGGCUGGGGAAAAUCAUGAGGAUGUUAUAUACUACUGGGUGCCAAUGGAUACUGAUCAAACAUCCAACUUUUGGUCAACGUGUGAUUGCCUAAAUGCUGGUCAUUGCAGAACUCUUUUUGAGGACGCAUUUAGGAAUAUGUACGGAUUACCAGAGGGCGUUGCAGCCCUGCCGCCAAUGCCCAAUGAUGGCGAUUAUUGGUCUACUCUUCAUAGUUGGGUAAUGCCCACCCCGUCAUUUUUAAAGUUCAUCAUGUUCACAAGGAUGUUUGUUGAUUCGCUUCAUAGCUUGAAUGGAAACAAUACCGAGCCAGCUUCAUGCUUGCUUGGAGCANNNNNNNNNNNNNAAAAGGCACUGCUAUUGUCGAAUACUGGAAAUCCUUGUAAAUAUCUGGGCUUAUCACAGUGGAAGGAAGAUGGUGUACCUUAA
rnacentral:rRNA from 1 species